rnacentral:rRNA from 1 species
AGUGAACGCUGGCGGUAGGCCUAACACAUGCAAGUCGAACGGCAGCACAGUAAGAGCUUGCUCUUACGGGUGGCGAGUGGCGGACGGGUGAGGAAUACAUCGGAAUCUACUUUUUCGUGGGGGAUAACGUAGGGAAACUUACGCUAAUACCGCAUACGACCUACGGGUGAAAGCAGGGGAUCUUCGGACCUUGCGCGAUUGAAUGAGCCGAUGUCGGAUUAGCUAGUUGGCGGGGUAAAGGCCCACCAAGGCGACGAUCCGUAGCUGGUCUGAGAGGAUGGUCAGCCACACUAGAACUGAGACACGGUCCAGACUCCUACGGGAGGCAGCAGUGGGGAAUAUUGGACAAUGGGCGCAAGCCUGAUCCAGCCAUACCGCGUGGGUGAAGAAGGCCUUCGGGUUGUAAAGCCCUUUUGUUGGGAAAGAAAAGCAGCAGGUUAAUACCCCGCUGUUCUGACGGUACCCAAAGAAUAAGCACCGGCUAACUUCGUG